GAUGAACGCUGGCGGCGUGCCUAAUACAUGCAAGUCGAGCGAACGGACGAGAAGCUUGCUUCUCUGAUGUUAGCGGCGGACGGGUGAGUAACACGUGGAUAACCUACCUAUAAGACUGGGAUAACUUCGGGAAACCGGAGCUAAUACCGGAUAAUAUUUUGAACCGCAUGGUUCAAAAGUGAAAGACGGUCUUGCUGUCACUUAUAGAUGGAUCCGCGCUGCAUUAGCUAGUUGGUAAGGUAACGGCUUACCAAGGCAACGAUGCAUAGCCGACCUGAGAGGGGGAUCGGCCACACUGAAACUGAGACACGUCCCAGACUCCGACGGAAGGCAGCAGUAGGGAAUCUUCCGCAAUGGGCGAAAGCCUGACGAAGCAACGCGGCUUGGGUGAUGAAGGUCUUCGGAUCGUAAAACUCUGUUAUUGGGGAAGAACAUAUGUGUAAGUAACUGUGCACAUCUUGACGUUACCUAUUCAGAAAGCCACGGCUAAUAACGG
rnacentral:rRNA from 1 species